CAGCGGCCGAGGUCCGCGCCCCGGGCGCCCCUCCCAGAUCCCAUCAAGCCAUGGUUUCAGCUCCACCCCUACUCAGGUACUGUUGCCCAGAGCCCACCCACAAGAGGUGCACAGGAGCACGGGAAGGAUGAAAGGGAUCCAGUGUGAUGGGCUUGCCACCAAGUGACGGGCCGGUGUCCUCAUGGAAUGAUGCUGCAUUUGGGACUUAGCGUGGGUCUCUGUUGCUGGAGAAUUGGAGAUUUGGCAGCAGGAAUAGCAGCAGCUAAAUCAGCCACGGCUCCUGACUAUCUGGUCAAGCCAUUGGCCACUGCCCAUGAGUCCAUGUGUAUUCUGAACUGAGGCCAUUUCCCUUUCCCCCAAAGUGGAUGACCAGUGUCUAAAGCUCUACCCGUUGGAAGGAUUUCACUUUACCACCAUCUUUCCAGGCCACUCCUGGGUGGAGCUGUGGUGCACACACCAUCCACUGCUGCAGUGCAGACACCAUCAGCUUUUAUUUUGAAUUUUUAUUUACAAAAAAAAAAAAAA
rnacentral:lncRNA from 1 species